AGGACGAACGCUGGCGGCGUGCUUAACACAUGCAAGUCGAGCGGAAAGGCCCUUCGGGGUACUCGAGCGGCGAACGGGUGAGUAACACGUGAGUAACCUGCCCCUAGCUUCGGGAUAGCUCCGGGAAACCGGAAUUAAUACCGGAUAUGACCACGGCCGACAUCGGCCACGGUGGAAAGAUUCAUCGGCUAGGGAUGGGCUCGCGGCCUAUCAGCUUGUUGGUGGGGUAACAGCCUACCAAGGCGACGACGGGUAGCCGGCCUGAGAGGGCGACCGGCCACACUGGGACUGAGACACGGCCCAGACUCCUACGGGAGGCAGCAGUGGGGAAUAUUGCGCAAUGGGCGAAAGCCUGACGCAGCGACGCCGCGUGGGGGAUGAAGGCCUUCGGGUUGUAAACCCCUUUCGGCAGGGACGAAGCGAAAGUGACGGUACCUGCAGAAGAAGCGCCGGCUAACUACGCGCCAGCAGCCGC
rnacentral:rRNA from 1 species